rnacentral:rRNA from 1 species
CGUAGGGUGCGAGCGUUAAUCGGAAUUACUGGGCGUAAAGCGUGCGCAGGCGGUUUUGUAAGACAGGCGUGAAAUCCCCGGGCUCAACCUGGGAACUGCGUUUGUGACUGCAAGGCUAGAGUAUGGCAGAGGGGGUGGAAUUCCACGUGUAGCAGUGAAAUGCGUAGAGAUGCGGAGGAACACCGAUGGCGAAGGCAGCCCCCUGGGCCAAUACUGACGCUCAUGCACGAAAGCGUGGGUAGCAAACAGGAUUAGAUACCCUGGUAGUCCACGCCCUAAACGAUGUCAACUAGGUGUUGGGUGGGUAAAACCAUUUAGUACCGGAGCUAACGCGUGAAGUUGACCGCCUGGGGAGUACGGCCGCAAGGUUA